UCCGGUUUGGCACCGGCGGUCUCCCUAGAGUCCCCGGCAUGACCCGCUGGCAACUAGGAACAGGGGUUGCGCUCGUUGCGCCACUUAAGGCAACACCUCACGGCACGAGCUGACGACAGCCAUGCAGCACCUGUGCACGUGUCCCGAAGGAGGGCCCUGCUUUCACAAGGCUUUCACGUGCAUGUCAAACCCAGGUAAGGUUCUUCGCGUUGCAUCGAAUUAAUCCGCAUGCUCCGCCGCUUGUGCAGGCCCCCGUCAAUUCCUUUGAGUUUUAGCCUUGCGGCCGUACUCCCCAGGCGGGGCGCUUAAUGCGUUAGCUGCGGCACGGAACGGGUUGAAGACCGCCCCACACCUAGCACCCAACGUUUACGGCUGGGACUAC
rnacentral:misc_RNA from 1 species